rnacentral:rRNA from 1 species
UACGUAGGGGCAAGCGUUGUCCGGAUUUAUUGGGCGUAAAGAGCGUGUAGGCGGCUAUACAGGUCCGCUGUGAAAACUCGAGGCUCAACCUCGAGACGUCGGUGGAAACCGUAUGGCUAGAGUCCGGAAGAGGAGAGUGGAAUUCCUGGUGUAGCGGUGAAAUGCGCAGAUAUCAGGAAGAACACCCGUGGCGAAGGCGGCUCUCUGGACGUGACUGACGCUGAGACGCGAAAGCGUGGGAGCAAACAGG